UACGUAGGUGACAAGCGUUGUCCGGAUUUACUGGGCGUAAAGAGCGCGCAGGCGGUCGAUCAAGUCGAGUGUGAAAGCCCCCCGGCUCAACUGGGGAGGGUCAUUCGAUACUGAUCGACUCGAAGGCAGGAGAGGGUAGUGGAAUUCCCGGUGUAGUGGUGAAAUGCGUAGAUAUCGGGAGGAACACCAGUGGCGAAGGCGACUACCUGGC
rnacentral:rRNA from 1 species